rnacentral:rRNA from 1 species
AACGAACGCUGGCGGCAGGCCUAACACAUGCAAGUCGAGCGCGCCCUUCGGGGUGAGCGGCGGACGGGUGAGUAACGCGUGGGAACGUGCCCUUUGCUACGGAAUAGUCUCGGGAAACUGGGGGUAAUACCGUAUGAGCCCUUCGGGGAAAGGAUUUAUCGGCAAAGGAUCGGCCGCGUUGGAUUAGGUAGUUGGUGGGGUAAUGGCUCACCAAGCCGACGAUCCAUAGCUGGUUUGAGAGGAUGAUCAGCCACACUGGGACUGAGACACGGCCCAGACUCCUACGGGAGGCAGCAGUGGGGAAUCUUAGACAAUGGGCGCAAGCCUGAUCUAGCCAUGCCGCGUGAGCGAUGAAGGCCUUAGGGUUGUAAAGCUCUUUCGUGGGGGAAGAUAAUGACUGUACCCCAAGAAGAAGCCCCGGCUAACUCCGUG